UGCAGGGGGCAGGAGAGGCUGGGAAGGUCUCCCUCGAGAGGCAAGUGAUGACUUUGGGGUGGUGCGCAGGUGAACAUCUUUAAUGUAAGAGCAUACUGAUGGUCAGAGCACAUUAGGAAAAAUUAUGACCAGCCCAUCGAACUCAUUCAGAGAGAGGCUGGAGCUGGCAGUUCGCACGAGGGAGGGUUCGGUGGCAGCCAGGGUGCAGGGGACAGGAGGAGCUGCAGAAAGAGGUUUUGGGGUUUGUGGAGGCUUGGCGGGUGGGUGGGCAGAUGUGGAGCCCCGGCCGAGCGGGCCCUGCCUGGGGAGACAGGAAGUGAAUCGACUGCCGACUGCCGAGGCGCCUCACCUCGCCCAGACUCACCCAGACGUCUGCCUGGUCUGCCCGACUGGUUCCUCAGCUGGGCCUCCAGUCACUCCCCGCCCGGGAGCUGGACAGACCUGUCGCACAGAUCCCUCCCUUGGGAUCAAGUUCAAGCUCCUCGCUGAGGUUCACAAGGGCCUUGCUGGAGCCGGUAGCUGCUGCUAUGGUCUUUCCCCUGAGGUUUCCUAAGCCCUCGAGCCCAGUGUCUACCGUCCUCGAAGGCAGGGAGGGACCCCCUCGCCUGUCAGUCCUGCCUCAGGGUUUUCUGGGGAUGAUGAAGUGAGCGGCGGCUCCCACUCUUCCAAGUGCUCCCCUGAAAGGCAGAUUCUCUACCGUCUGAGCCACCUGGGAGAAUGUCUGAAGAAGAGAUGGACGACAUGACUGGGGGAGCUUGGGCUGGGCUGGACCUGGUAUAAGACUACAGAAGCAGGAGAAGGAUGGCGGGAGGUCUGAAGUCAUCUGGAGAAUGGGAAGCAGGUUGAGGGAAUCCGGACAGUGCGGGGUGGGGGUUGGGCCGGGCCCGGCCUUGGGGACCUGCCCAGGGGAGCUCCAAUCAGGGCGGGGAAACAGCACGCCCUCCACAUCAUAAUAAGGGUUGGGACAGUCUGAGUAAGACUCAACAGUCUUUCGACGUAAGAAGUUACGGAGACUUGCAGGGUCCACUGGAUACUAACCCAGAAGACAGAGAAGCGUGGAGGAAGGCUCUGCGCCAGCCGCAGGUACCAUCCCGCAACAUCGUGGAAACUGCUGCAUGGAAAAGAGUGACUC